UCUACGGGAGGCAGCAGUAGGGAAUCUUCGGCAAUGGACGAAAGUCUGACCGAGCAACGCCGCGUGAGUGAAGAAGGUUUUCGGAUCGUAAAACUCUGUUGUUAGAGAAGAACAAGGAUGAGAGUAACUGUUCAUCCCUUGACGGUAUCUAACCAGAAAGCCACGGCUAACUACGUGCCAGCAGCCGCGGUAAUACGUAGGUGGCAAGCGUUGUCCGGAUUUAUUGGGCGUAAAGCGAGCGCAGGCGGUUUCUUAAGUCUGAUGUGAAAGCCCCCGGCUCAACCGGGGAGGGUCAUUGGAAACUGGGAGACUUGAGUGCAGAAGAGGAGAGUGGAAUUCCAUGUGUAGCGGUGAAAUGCGUAGAUAUAUGGAGGAACACCAGUGGCGAAGGCGGCUCUCUGGUCUGUAACUGACGCUGAGGCUCGAAAGCGUGGGGAGCAAACAGGAUUAGAUACCCUGGUAGUCCACGCCGUAAACGAUGAGUGCUAAGUGUUGGAGGGUUUCCGCCCUUCAGUGCUGCAGCUAACGCAUUAAGCACUCCGCCUGGGGAGUACGACCGCAAGGUUGAAACUCAAAGGAAUUGACGGA
rnacentral:rRNA from 1 species